UACGUAGGGUGCGAGCGUUGUCCGGAACUAUUGGGCGUAAAGGGCUCGUAGGCGGUUUGUCGCGUCGGGAGUGAAAUCCACUGGCUUAACUGGUGGCUUGCUUUCGAUACGGGCAGACUGGAGGUAUGCAGGGGAGAACGGAAUUCCUGGUGUAGCGGUGAAAUGCGCAGAUAUCAGGAGGAACACCGGUGGCGAAGGCGGUUCUCUGGGCAUGUCCUGACGCUGAGGAGCGAAAGUGUGGGGAGCGAACAGG
rnacentral:rRNA from 1 species